rnacentral:lncRNA from 1 species
CGGGAAGGGUUCAAAACCAUGGGUGUCACUUCCUAAGGGCAAGGGUAUUAAGUUGUCCAUCAUUGAGGAAGCUAGGAAGAGACAGGCUGCCCAGGCUGCUGCUUAAGCUUUUACAAUGAAUUUGGAUGCAUUUUGCUGCUUUGUUUUUUCUUGUUGAAUUAGAGCUGAUUGGCACUCUCUAAAGCUGAAGUAGGACCGAUGCAAAAAUGAAUCUUUAUUUUUAUUUUUAUUUUUAUCAGCACAAUUUUGAACCUGCUUUGUCCUUUUUUAUUUUAGCUACUAUUUGGUGGAUGUUAUUUUCAACUAUUUAAUCUAAGUUCAUGUAUCUCUUUAUCGUUUCUGUUUGUAAUUUUGGGCUUAUGGUUUUCCACUUUUGUAUUUGAAAUGUAUUAAGCAUUGGGGUCUGGUUAAACCUGAAUGGGGAUCAGGGUACUUUUCCUCUCUC